UAGUUGGCAAAUCACGCAAAUAGAAUUGAAAUUGACUGCAGACCAAUUGCAAGGCAGAUCUUCAAGAUUUCAAUUGAUUGGGUUUUUUACGCCGGGCAAAGCCCAGUCAGAGAAAGAGAGACAGAGCUUGAGCAGCGACUUGAGAUUCUGCUAUAAAAGCAACGACUAUUGCCAGUCAGUUAUAUAUUCGUAGAGACAACGAUACAGUCUAGACAACAAUAAUGCAAUUCUUACGCAUCUGUGGAUUUGUCGUGGCUCUGAUUGUGGCUAUGGCUAGUGCGGCUCCAGAACCCAAGGGCACGGUGCUGAUUCAAACUCCCAACAGCCAGACCAUCUAUACGGGUUAAUAAUGCAAGAGGCGAGCUGAAGCUGAAAAGUUU